rnacentral:rRNA from 1 species
GUAGUUUGAUCCGUGCUCAGGAUAACGCUGGCGGCGCACAUAAGACAUGCAAGUCGAACGGACUUAACUCAUUUCUUUUAGUUUGAGAGCGGUUAGUGGCGGACUGGUGAGUAACACGUAAGCAACCUGCCUAUUAGAGGGAAUAACAGUGAGAAAUCAUUGCUAAUACCGCAUAUGCUAACAGUAUCGCAUGAUACAGUUAGGAAAGGAGCAAUCCGCUAAUAGAUGGGCUUACGUCUGAUUAGUUAGUUGGUGGGGUAACGGCCUACCAAGACUACGAUCAGUAGCCGGACUGAGAGGUUGAACGGCCACAUUGGGACUGAGAUACGGCCCAGACUCCUACGGGAGGCAGCAGUCGGGAAUAUUGCGCAAUGGAGGAAACUACUGACGCAGUGACGCCGCGUAUAGGAAGAAGGUUUUCGGUAUUGUAAACUAUUGUCGUUAGGGAAGAUAAAAGAACUGUACCUAAGGAGGAAGCCCCGGCUAACUAUGUG